rnacentral:tmRNA from 1 species
AAAAAAUAGUCGCAAACGACGAAAACUACGCUUUAGCAGCUUAAUAACCUGCUCUGAGCCCUCUCUCCCUAGCUUCCGCUCUUAAGACGGGGAUCAAAGAGAGGUCAAACCCAAAAGAGAUCGCGUGGAUGCCCUGCCUGGGGUUGAAGCGUUAAAUCUAAUCAGGCUAGUUUGUUAGUGGCGUGUCUGUCCGCAGCUGGCAAGCGAAUGUAAAGACUGACUAAGCAUGUAGUGCCGAGGAUGUAGGAAUUUCGGACGCGGGUUCAACUCCCGCCAGCUCCACCA